rnacentral:rRNA from 1 species
AUCAGCAGUCACACCACCAGCAGUUCAGACUAGGUAACCCAUCUGAAGAUAAGCAGGUUUGGGCCUGACCAGCACUUGGGAGACCAAAUAGGAAAGCUGGGUUGCUGCUGGAA